GCAGGGAGCCUGGAAGGGGGACCGAAUGAAGACCCAGCCCUGUGCCCUGUGGGGACAUCAGUCAGCCUCUGUAGGCCCGCUGAACCGUGAGUCAUGGGUGCACAGCCCUCGCCAAGAACAAGUUAUGGGAUCGUCUCUGCAAGCUCUGAGCCCUUCCCAGCCCGCACUCCCACCACGAGUUCAGCGACGGAGCAGCGCAGAAGAGAAACCCUCCACUUCUCCCUUCUCUGGUUUCCCCAGAGUUCUGCUACUUACCUGGAGAGCCUGGUGGCUUGUGCUGGCUGCUACACCUCUGAACCUGCACAGUCCCAACCCCAGUAAGGGAAGCGUCUCAGGCAGGCACCAUUCUUCAAGGCCGGUCUCCGUCCCUCCGACCACCAAGCUCCCCUCCACUGCGUCCUAGCUGCCACUACAACUUGGGUUUUAUUUACCGCACGUGUUGUUCA
rnacentral:lncRNA from 14 species